rnacentral:ribozyme from 13 species
GUUUUUUUCUUCUUCUUCUUCGAUUUCUCUUUCGUUUCUUCUAAUUUGUGCAC